rnacentral:tRNA from 2 species
GCGGCUGUGGCGGAAUGGCAGACGCGCACGCUUGAGGGGCGUGUGGUAUAUACCGUGCUGGUUCAAGUCCAGUCAGCCGCACCA